CUUAUCCCCAAUUUACAAAUGAAGAAAUGGAAGUCAAGACUUUUCCCAAGGCCACCAAACUGGUUAAGUGGCAAGUACUUAAGGCUCCCAAGUUCAGCAAUGUUUCUAAUAGACUUCUGCCUCUGUGUUCCCUGGACAACUCCAUUCCAGUGCAAGAUUCUCAUGGUUGAAUUCAUAGUGGGCUUCUAUGACUUCUGCCUUGCCCUGGAGGUCCAAUACAGGACCAGCAAGUUAUUUCUGUGUGGACAGCCCAGUCCCAGAAGGAGCUUGGGAAUACAGCAGCAGGCUUUAAAGCUUGCCUGUCUUUCGCCUACGCUUCUGGAAUCCUCAAGUUGUGUUGACCCACCUGGGAACACUGCUGGUUCCAGAAUGCCAAGCUCCAGUAAUUGUAUAAAAUAAAAUUAAAAUACCAGAA
rnacentral:lncRNA from 10 species